AAUAGGGGAGCCGAAGGGAAACCGAGUCUUAACUGGGCGUUAAGUUGCAGGGUAUAGACCCGAAACCCGGUGAUCUAGCCAUGGGCAGGUUGAAGGUUGGGUAACACUAACUGGAGGACCGAACCGACUAAUGUUGAAAAAUUAGCGGAUGACUUGUGGCUGGGGGUGAAAGGCCAAUCAAACCGGGAGAUAGCUGGUUCUCCCCGAAAGCUAUUUAGGUAGCGCCUCGUGAAUUCAUCUCCGGGGGUAGAGCACUGUUUCGGCAAGGGGGUCAUCCCGACUUACCAACCCGAUGCAAACUGCGAAUACCGGAGAAUGUUAUCACGGGAGACACACGGCGGGUGCUAACGUCCGUCGUGAAGAGGGAAACAACCCAGACCGCCAGCUAAGGUCCCAAAGUCAUGGUUAAGUGGGAAACGAUGUGGGAAGGCCCAGACAGCCAGGAUGUUGGCUUAGAAGCAGCCAUCAUUUAAAGAAAGCGUAAUAGCUCACUGGUCGAGUCGGCCUGCGCGGAAGAUGUAACGGGGCUAAACCAUGCACCGAAGCUGCGGCAGCGACGCUUAUGCGUUGUUGGGUAGGGGAGCGUUCUGUAAGCCUGUGAAGGUGUGCUGUGAGGCAUGCUGGAGGUAUCAGAAGUGCGAAUGCUGACAUAAGUAACGAUAAAGCGGGUGAAAAGCCCGCUCGCCGGAAGACCAAGGGUUCCUGUCCAACGUUAAUCGGGGCAGGGUGAGUCGACCCCUAAGGCGAGGCCGAAAGGCGUAGUCGAUGGGAAACAGGUUAAUAUUCCUGUACUUGGUGUUACUGCGAAGGGGGGACGGAGAAGGCUAUGUUGGCCGGGCGACGGUUGUCCCGGUUUAAGCGUGUAGGCUGGUUUUCCAGGCAAAUCCGGAAAAUCAAGGCUGAGGCGUGAUGACGAGGCACUACGGUGCUGAAGCAACAAAUGCCCUGCUUCCAGGAAAAGCCUCUAAGCAUCAGGUAACAUCAAAUCGUACCCCAAACCGACACAGGUGGUCAGGUAGAGAAUACCAAGGCGCUUGAGAGAACUCGGGUGAAGGAACUAGGCAAAAUGGUGCCGUAACUUCGGGAGAAGGCACGCUGAUAUGUAGGUGAAGUCCCUCGCGGAUGGAGCUGAAAUCAGUCGAAGAUACCAGCUGGCUGCAACUGUUUAUUAAAAACACAGCACUGUGCAAACACGAAAGUGGACGUAUACGGUGUGACGCCUGCCCGGUGCCGGAAGGUUAAUUGAUGGGGUCAGCGCAAGCGAAGCUCUUGAUCGAAGCCCCGGUAAACGGCGGCCGUAACUAUAACGGUCCUAAGGUAGCGAAAUUCCUUGUCGGGUAAGUUCCGACCUGCACGAAUGGCGUAAUGAUGGCCAGGCUGUCUCCACCCGAGACUCAGUGAAAUUGAACUCGCUGUGAAGAUGCAGUGUACCCGCGGCAAGACGGAAAGACCCCGUGAACCUUUACUAUAGCUUGACACUGAACAUUGAGCCUUGAUGUGUAGGAUAGGUGGGAGGCUUAGAAGUGUGGACGCCAGUCUGCAUGGAGCCGACCUUGAAAUACCACCCUUUAAUGUUUGAUGUUCUAACGUUGACCCGUAAUCCGGGUUGCGGACAGUGUCUGGUGGGUAGUUUGACUGGGGCGGUCUCCUCCUAAAGAGUAACGGAGGAGCACGAAGGUUGGCUAAUCCUGGUCGGACAUCAGGAGGUUAGUGCAAUGGCAUAAGCCAGCUUGACUGCGAGCGUGACGGCGCGAGCAGGUGCGAAAGCAGGUCAUAGUGAUCCGGUGGUUCUGAAUGGAAGGGCCAUCGCUCAACGGAUAAAAGGUACUCCGGGGAUAACAGGCUGAUACCGCCCAAGAGUUCAUAUCGACGGCGGUGUUUGGCACCUCGAUGUCGGCUCAUCACAUCCUGGGGCUGAAGUAGGUCCCAAGGGUAUGGCUGUUCGCCAUUUAAAGUGGUACGCGAGCUGGGUUUAGAACGUCGUGAGACAGUUCGGUCCCUAUCUGCCGUGGGCGCUGGAGAACUGAGGGGGGCUGCUCCUAGUACGAGAGGACCGGAGUGGACGCAUCACUGGUGUUCGGGUUGUCAUGCCAAUGGCA
rnacentral:rRNA from 1 species